GAGCGGCGAACGGGUGAGUAACACGUGAGCAACCUGCCCUAGGCUUUGGGAUAACCCCGGGAAACCGGGGCUAAUACCGAAUAGGACCUGACAUCGCAUGGUGUUGGGUGGAAAGUUUUUCGGCCUGGGAUGGGCUCGCGGCCUAUCAGCUUGUUGGUGGGGUGAUGGCCUACCAAGGCGACGACGGGUAGCCGGCCUGAGAGGGCGACCGGCCACACUGGGACUGAGACACGGCCCAGACUCCUACGGGAGGCAGCAGUGGGGAAUAUUGCACAAUGGGCGGAAGCCUGAUGCAGCGACGCCGCGUGAGGGAUGACGGCCUUCGGGUUGUAAACCUCUUUCAGCAGGGACGAAGCGCAAGUGACGGUACCUGCAGAAGAAGCGCCGGCCAACUACGUGCCAGCAGCCGCGGUAAGACGUAGGGCGCGAGCGUUGUCCGGAUUUAUUGGGCGUAAAGAGCUCGUAGGCGGCUUGUCGCGUCGACUGUGAAAACCCGCAGCUCAACUGCGGGCCUGCAGUCGAUACGGGCAGGCUAGAGUUCGGUAGGGGAGACUGGAAUUCCU
rnacentral:rRNA from 4 species